rnacentral:rRNA from 1 species
UAGGGAAUCUUCCACAAUGGACGAAAGUCUGAUGGAGCAACGCCGCGUGAGUGAAGAAGGGUUUCGGCUCGUAAAACUCUGUCGUUAAAGAAGAACAUAUCUGAGAGUAACUGCUCAGGUAUUGACGGUAUUUAACCAGAAAGCCACGGCUAACUACGUGCCAC